CCUACGGGAGGCAGCAGUGAGGAAUAUUGGUCAAUGGUCGAAAGACUGAACCAGCCAAGUAGCGUGAAGGAUGAAGGUUCUAUGGAUUGUAAACUUCUUUUAUACGGGAAUAAAACCUCCUACGUGUGGGUGCUUGUAUGUACCGUAUGAAUAAGCAUCGGCUAACUCCGUGCCAGCAGCCGCGGUAAUA
rnacentral:rRNA from 1 species